rnacentral:rRNA from 1 species
CCAGACUCCUACGGGAGGCAGCAGUGGGGAAUAUUGCACAAUGGGCGAAAGCCUGAUGCAGCAACGCCGCGUGAAGGAAGACGGUUUUCGGAUUGUAAACUUCUGUUCUUAGUGAAGAAUAAUGACGGUAACUAAGGAGCAAGCUCCGGCUAACUACGUGCCAGCAGCCGCGGUAAUACGUAGGGAGCAAGCGUUAUCCGGAUUUACUGGGUGUAAAGGGCGUGUAGGCGGGCAUGCAAGCCAGAAGUGAAAUCUGGGGGCUUAACCCCCAAACUGCUUUUGGAACUGCGUGUCUUGAGUGAUGGAGAGGCAGGCGGAAUUCCCAGUGUAGCGGUGAAAUGCGUAGAUAUUGGGAGGAACACCAGUGGCGAAGGCGGCCUGCUGGACAUUAACUGACGCUGAGGCGCGAAAGCGUGGGGAGCAAACAGGAUUAGAUACCCGCGUA